rnacentral:rRNA from 1 species
CCAAUAGCGUAUAUUAAAGUUGUUGCAGUUAAAAAGCUCGUAGUUGAAUUUCGGGAUUAGUAGGUUGGUCGUGCCUCCGGUAUGUACUGGCUUCACUGAUUCCUCCUUCUUGAAGAACUGUAAUGUCAUUAAUUUGGUGUUGCAGGGAAACAGGACUGUUACUUUGAAAAAAUUAGAGUGUUUAAAGCAGGCUAACGCUUGAAUACAUUAGCAUGGAAUAAUGAAAUAGGACGUUUGAUCCUAUUUUGUUGGUUUCUAGGAUUGACGUAAUGAUUAAUAGGGAUAGUUGGGGGCAUUAGUAUUCAAUUGUCAGAGGGGAAAUUCUUGGAUUUAUUGAAGACUAACUACUGCGAAAGCAUUUGCCAAGGAUGUUUUCAUUAAUCAAGAACGAAAGUUAGGGGAUCGAAGACGAUCAGAUACCGUCGUAGUCUUAACCAUAAACUAUGCCGACUAGGGAUCGGAUGAUGUUAAUUUUUUAAUGACUCAUUCGGCGCCUUACG